UCGGAGAGUUUGAUCCUGGCUCAGGACGAACGCUGGCGGCGUGCCUAAUACAUGCAAGUCGAGCGAAUCGACGGGAGCUUGCUCCCUGAGAUUAGCGGCGGACGGGUGAGUAACACGUGGGCAACCUGCCUAUAAGACUGGGAUAACUUCGGGAAACCGGAGCUAAUACCGGAUACGUUCUUUUCUCGCAUGAGAGAAGAUGGAAAGACGGUUUACGCUGUCACUUAUAGAUGGGCCCGCGGCGCAUUAGCUAGUUGGUGAGGUAAUGGCUCACCAAGGCGACGAUGCGUAGCCGACCUGAGAGGGUGAUCGGCCACACUGGGACUGAGACACGGCCCAGACUCCUACGGGAGGCAGCAGUAGGGAAUCUUCCGCAAUGGACGAAAGUCUGACGGAGCAACGCCGCGUGAACGAAGAAGGCCUUCGGGUCGUAAAGUUCUGUUGUUAGGGAAGAACAAGUACCAGAGUAACUGCUGGUACCUUGACGGUACCUAACCAGAAAGCCACGGCUAACUACGUGCC
rnacentral:rRNA from 1 species